ensembl:lncRNA
GUUUAUUUCCAAUCAGCCUCCGCUGAUCAGUCUGCAUGAGUUCAUCUUAAUGGUUGUUUCAUUCCAGCGCUCUGUGUGUGUGUGUGUGUGUGUGUGUGUGUGUGUGUGUGCGCGUGCAUGCCCUUGCACCCGUCCAUGUGCGUGUCUGUAAGCUGACAUCUUUCUGUGUUCAGCUCGUCGCUCUCGCCAUUCUCGAGGGCGUCGCCCUCCCAGUACCCGCUCUCUCUCUCUACGGCUCCGCUCAGGCUCCGCCCCCCGCCCGCUGCAUACACGCUCGCUCUUCCUGCCCAACAGCCAAUCACUCAUUAUCCCCCCGCCCCCUCCAUACCCGCCUCCUCUGGCUCCUCCCACUUUGAGCUCUCUGUGCCGGAUUCCCACUCGGCUGCAGC